rnacentral:hammerhead_ribozyme from 1 species
GGACUGCUGAAGAGUCUCAAACAGGACAAAACAGCUGUCCAGUGC